GAAUGUGUCUCCUCCACAAGGAAGUUGCAAACUCAAGGGACACUGAGGUCCUUCAGCAAUUCCGAAUACUGCAGAGAGGAGGACAAGAAGGCCACAACUAGGACAAAGAGGGACAGGCUUUAGGUGGGAUGACCAGACUAGAGAAGACAGAGAUCAGGGUGCUGGCACAGCCAGAAAACCAGGUUUGGCAACCACACCAGCUCUACCACCUCUUUCCUCAUGAUGGGGCACCUUCCUCAGUGGCAGCAAAAACAGAUGAGCAAUAAAGGCUGUUUCCACUUCUUUCAACAGAAAGACCGGUGGGGUCACAAAGGCCUCGCCGCUGAGCCGAGAGCCCCCUUCUCUCAAUCCUUGUUUUCCUGCCUGCCCAGCAAUGGCCUUAGGUAAGAGAUGCCACAGGAAUCCAAAAACCUUUGAGACUUUUUUCUAACGAGGCCCUCAGCUAAGAAGAUACACAGUGCCAGAGGUCCUGAGAACUUCUGCACCUGCCCAUCCUUACCAGCCAUGUGGGUGCCCCUUUAAG